rnacentral:rRNA from 1 species
CGCAGCCGCGGUAAUUCCAGCUCCAAUAGCGUAUAUUAAAGUUGUUGCAGUUAAAAAGCUCGUAGUUGAAUUUCGGGGUCAGUAGGUUGGUCAUGCCACUGGUAUGUACUGGCCUCACUGAUUCCUCCUUCCUGAUGAGCCGUAAUGCCAUUAAUUUGGUGUUGCGAGGAAUCUGGACUGUUACUUUGAAAAAUUAGAGUGUUUAAAGCAGGCUAACGCUUGAAUACAUUAGCAUGGAAUAAUGAAAUAGGACGUUCGAUCUUAUUUUGUUGGUUUCUAAGAUUGACGUAAUGAUUAAUAGGGAUAGUUGGGGGCAUUAGUAUUCAAUUGUCAGAGGUGAAAUUCUUGGAUUUAUUGAAGACUAACUACUGCGAAAGCAUUUGCCAAGGAUGUUUUCAUUAAUCAAGAACGAAAGUUAGGGGAUCGAAGACGAUCAGAUACCGUCCUAGU